CUAUACAUCAACUAAAAAAAAGAGAGAGAAGAAUCUGGAAAAGACAAAAUCUAUGAGACCUUGCUCCACAUUGCUUGUCGUGAUGCUUGAGGCUAAAGAAGAUGGCUUCUGCUUUAAUACAUUGAGGCCUAGAGGAACGUAAAGUGGGCUCAGAUUCCUGGUGGUCUUCGCUAGACAGCAAAGCAUGCUUGGAAGAUUUCCUGGUGAGAACCUGAGACCCUGUAAGAACUCUGAGGUCAAGGACAAUGUUUCUCCUGUUCAUAGCUCUAUUCAGGACACCUAAUAAAGACUUCUAAGCCAGUCUAUGAAGGAUGUUUCUGAAUCUUCCAAUCAGAGAACCUGGACUAUAAGUUGCAGGUGGAGCAGUCAUCUUGUGUUUAUAAAAUGACCAAAGGAAUAAAAAAGAAAUGCUAAAGAUGGCAGAACAUAAAGAGAGUAGACUGGGGUUUUAGUAAUAUCAUGGAUUUACUGCACCAGCCCUGCACUGCCUAUCUAUAGCCAUCUAUUUUUUUUUUUGUAUGACAAAAUAAUCCCCCUUUUGGAUAAUUCACAAUAGGUUAGUGGGUGAAAUGUACAGCUAUUGGAACACCUAUAUAG